UGGCCUUCCUCGCUUCAGUCUGCAUGGCUGGAAUCCUCUUUUCCAGUGUGUCUCACAGGUCUGGACGUGGCUUGGUCUCUUCGCUCAUUUGCCGAGCGCUGUAGUAGGAAAGACUCAGUCCCACCAUCGCCAGCAGCAAUGCCAGGUGAUUCACCAGCCGGUCUUGAGGUUCUGACUCGGGUCUGCUGGCCAGCUGCAUCUGUGUGAAUGUGAAGAAAGGGCAAACCUUUAGGAAGUUGGAAGCAUGCUCACGGGCUGAAAUGGAAGGGGCUACAUUUCCCUUAUCUUAUCAAUUAGGAGUGGCUGUAGAUGCCAUUCAUGCCUGUGGAGGCAUGCAGCCACGACAGAUGGUAAAGUCUGGCUUAGUUCAGCUUAACUGGGUUGAUUUGCACAAUUUGCAUAACUUUUGAUUUUUUAAAAGAAGUUUCUAGUCCUCAUGGGGGUACGCAAUGAACACUGUCAUGGCUUGUGAUAGACACUGCUCUGGCUGGAUAGCAAGAGGUUACGGAAUGGAGGAUUCUGUGGUGUGUGCACACAUUUAUUUAUCUUCACAGCAACCUGUGAGGAAAGUUAGGCCAGGAAAUGAUGUCUGGGCCCAGGUCAUCCAGUAAGCUGAGUGCAGAUCUGAACCCAGCCAGCCUUAACCCUUUCCCAAUGAAUUGUCAUGUUCAUGACACCAGUAACCAAGGGGAGCCAACGGGAUGACAGGAGCACAGAAUAAAUACACACCCUGGAAUGGACAGGUGCUGGAAUGCGAGCGGGGAAAUCUACAUUCAAAUGCUGCCUUUGGCCCUGAAGUUUGUUAGGUAGCAGAAUCUACCUCACAGGGAUGUUGUGAUAAAAUGGGGCAGCCCAAUAUACAUUGCAUUGAGGAUCCAAACAUGAGAAGCAGAAAAUAUCUGCAUAAUGCAAACUGGGAAACAUUCAUACAGUGAUUUUAUCUGUCCCUCUACCAAACACGGAAUAUGCAUCUUGCAAACUGUAGUUAUCGGCAGAGCAGGAGCACAGAAUAAAUACACACCCUUCCUUUCCCUUACAGCGAGGACGAAAUCCUUCACUAAGAAUUACCUUCAUGGCCUGAAUGACUAAGAGAAAUGGAAAUGAUCCCUUUGGAGGACGGAGCCUCCCUGAAUUCUGCUUUAUUUCAUGGGAGGAUCUGCACAGUCACUUGGAUGCCCAACAGGAUAGGAUGUAGACAGCUUACCUGUAGCAGGCGGAAGUACCCUGGGGUUAAAUGCCGGAGGCGGAAGAUCAUAACACAGAGGGAGGGAGGCUGGCGAGGUCGGUUCGUUCCCGAUCACUUUCCUUGUGGCUUUAUUUAGGCUGAUGAAAGCUGUGAGACGAAGCGUGAUAGAAUUGGUUAGAACAUGGUGGGAGAGAAGUCGCAGAAGAAAAGAGAUGACUAGCAAACACUAUCUCGUUUUUGAAAUUGUCUGGAGAUCCCGUCUGUGGAUUACCCCAAAAUUAUCUUCAUGGAACGCCGGGCACUGACUUGCACGGGUUGUACUUUGGGUAUUAAUGCAGACGCGUUGCCGGCUCAUGAGAAGAGACAGGGCAAUUGCCCAGAACAUCCCGUCCCCUGGAAUGCGGGAUGAAGCACGACUUUCCUGCUGCAGGAGCGUCUUCCUAAAUUUCCCCAUUGCUCUUGGACAGCUCCAGCCUGCCACACUCGCCCUCCUGUUCGGCUCCUCCUGGGCCACUAAGGCAAGGGGAUGUCAUGGCGACUCACAAGUUUCUGGGUCCCAGUCGGUAUAUGCCACGCUCCAGUGGUACUGCCGAGCGCCUGUGUUAUGGUGCUUUUAAAUGUUGCCCUCCCCUCCCUGCCCGAUGACGAUGCCGCUGCAGCGGCCUCAGGAACAGCUGUCACAAGAGAUCAGCGCUUGAUGCUCUGCCGACCGCGUACGAGCCGUGUGUCAGGAGGAAGUGGCUCUGGCUGGGCAACAGAAAACUUGCGCCGUGUUCAGCAUCUCCGGAGGACCGACUUGCACUGUGACGCAGCAGAAAUCGUGAAGCAUGUGGCCAUGGGUCCAGUUUGCUUGGACAAAGCGGAGGACAGUCCUUUGCUUGAAGGGGCCCUCAAGACGGCUAAAGGUUUUGGAGCAAGCCACAUCAUACUGCUGAUGGACAAUUGUAACAGACAUCGCAAUUGAGCUUCUGCUGGACUGCAGUUCCAAGAUUCCUUUACAUGUAUUGGUGCCAAGCCAAUGAUCUCCCAGCUUGGACCUGUGUGUGUUGUUUCUUUUUCAUAUAUGAAGAAUUCUGCAUUAGUGACCUUACACUUUCAUAGUUGUUUUCUGCCCUGUCUUCUCCUUUAUCAAGAUCAUACUGAAUGUU